GGGACACGUGGUAUCCUGUCUGAAUAUGGGGGGACCAUCCUCCAAGGCUAAAUACUCCUGACUGACCGAUAGUGAACCAGUACCGUGAGGGAAAGGCGAAAAGAACCCCGGCGAGGGGAGUGAAAAAGAACCUGAAACCGUGUACGUACAAGCAGUGGGAGCCUCUUAAUGGGGUGACUGCGUACCUUUUGUAUAAUGGGUCAGCGACUUAUAUUCUGUAGCAAGGUUAACCGAAUAGGGGAGCCGAAGGGAAACCGAGUCUUAACUGGGCGUUAAGUUGCAGGGUAUAGACCCGAAACCCGGUGAUCUAGCCAUGGGCAGGUUGAAGGUUGGGUAACACUAACUGGAGGACCGAACCGACUAAUGUUGAAAAAUUAGCGGAUGACUUGUGGCUGGGGGUGAAAGGCCAAUCAAACCGGGAGAUAGCUGGUUCUCCCCGAAAGCUAUUUAGGUAGCGCCUCGUGAAUUCAUCUCCGGGGGUAGAGCACUGUUUCGGCAAGGGGGUCAUCCCGACUUACCAACCCGAUGCAAACUGCGAAUACCGGAGAAUGUUAUCACGGGAGACACACGGCGGGUGCUAACGUCCGUCGUGAAGAGGGAAACAACCCAGACCGCCAGCUAAGGUCCCAAAGUCAUGGUUAAGUGGGAAACGAUGUGGGAAGGCCCAGACAGCCAGGAUGUUGGCUUAGAAGCAGCCAUCAUUUAAAGAAAGCGUAAUAGCUCACUGGUCGAGUCGGCCUGCGCGGAAGAUGUAACGGGGCUAAACCAUGCACCGAAGCUGCGGCAGCGACACUAUGUGUUGUUGGGUAGGGGAGCGUUCUGUAAGCCUGUGAAGGUGGCCUGUGAGGGUUGCUGGAGGUAUCAGAAGUGCGAAUGCUGACAUAAGUAACGAUAAAGCGGGUGAAAAGCCCGCUCGCCGGAAGACCAAGGGUUCCUGUCCAACGUUAAUCGGGGCAGGGUGAGUCGACCCCUAAGGCGAGGCCGAAAGGCGUAGUCGAUGGGAAACAGGUUAAUAUUCCUGUACUUGGUGUUACUGCGAAGGGGGGACGGAGAAGGCUAUGUUGGCCGGGCGACGGUUGUCCCGGUUUAAGCGUGUAGGCUGGUUUUCCAGGCAAAUCCGGAAAACCAAGGCUGAGGCGUGAUGACGAGGCACUACGGUGCUGAAGCGACAAAUGCCCUGCUUCCAGGAAAAGCCUCUAAGCAUCAGGUAACAUCAAAUCGUACCCCAAACCGACACAGGUGGUCAGGUAGAGAAUACCAAGGCGCUUGAGAGAACUCGGGUGAAGGAACUAGGCAAAAUGGUGCCGUAACUUCGGGAGAAGGCACGCUGAUAUGUAGGUGAAGCGACUUGCUCGUGGAGCUGAAAUCAGUCGAAGAUACCAGCUGGCUGCAACUGUUUAUUAAAAACACAGCACUGUGCAAACACGAAAGUGGACGUAUACGGUGUGACGCCUGCCCGGUGCCGGAAGGUUAAUUGAUGGGGUUAGCGGUAACGCGAAGCUCUUGAUCGAAGCCCCGGUAAACGGCGGCCGUAACUAUAACGGUCCUAAGGUAGCGAAAUUCCUUGUCGGGUAAGUUCCGACCUGCACGAAUGGCGUAAUGAUGGCCAGGCUGUCUCCACCCGAGACUCAGUGAAAUUGAACUCGCUGUGAAGAUGCAGUGUACCCGCGGCAAGACGGAAAGACCCCGUGAACCUUUACUAUAGCUUGACACUGAACAUUGAGCCUUGAUGUGUAGGAUAGGUGGGAGGCUUUGAAGUGUGGACGCCAGUCUGCAUGGAGCCGACCUUGAAAUACCACCCUUUAAUGUUUGAUGUUCUAACGUUGGCCCGUAAUCCGGGUUGCGGACAGUGUCUGGUGGGUAGUUUGACUGGGGCGGUCUCCUCCUAAAGAGUAACGGAGGAGCACGAAGGUUGGCUAAUCCUGGUCGGACAUCAGGAGGUUAGUGCAAUGGCAUAAGCCAGCUUGACUGCGAGCGUGACGGCGCGAGCAGGUGCGAAAGCAGGUCAUAGUGAUCCGGUGGUUCUGAAUGGAAGGGCCAUCGCUCAACGGAUAAAAGGUACUCCGGGGAUAACAGGCUGAUACCGCCCAAGAGUUCAUAUCGACGGCGGUGUUUGGCACCUCGAUGUCGGCUCAUCACAUCCUGGGGCUGAAGUAGGUCCCAAGGGUAUGGCUGUUCGCCAUUUAAAGUGGUACGCGAGCUGGGUUUAGAACGUCGUGAGACAGUUCGGUCCCUAUCUGCCGUGGGCGCUGGAGAACUGAGGGGGGCUGCUCCUAGUACGAGAGGACCGGAGUGGACGCAUCACUGGUGUUCGGGUUGUCAUGCCAAUGGCACUGCCCGGUAGCUAAAUGCGGAAGAGAUAAGUGCUGAAAGCAUCUAAGCACGAAACUUGCCCCGAGAUGAGUUCUCCCUGAGACUUAGAGUCUCCUGAAGGAACGUUGAAGACUACGACGUUGAUAGGCCGGGUGUGUAAGCGCAGCGAUGCGUUGAGCUAACCGGUACUAAUGAA
rnacentral:rRNA from 1 species